ACGGGGGUACACCGGGCAGAUGAAUAUGUCAGCGGCAAACUUCUUAGAGGAACUGGCGUCCGAAAAGGCGCACGAGAAAGAGCAAUAACAGGUCUGUGAUGCCCUAAGAUGUCCGGGGCCGCACGCGUGCUACAAUGACGAUGCUACUGAGCAUGAUUAACUUGUCCGAAAGGAUUGGUGAAACUGUUCAAUCAUCGUCGUGACUGGGAUUGGGGUUUGUAAUUAUCCCCCAUGAACCAGGAAUUCCUAGUAAGCACAAGUCAUAAGCUUGUGCUGAUUACGUCCCUGCCCUUUGUACACACCGCCCGUCGCUACUACCGAUUGAAUGGUUUAGCAAGGACAUUGGAUCGAGCCUUUGCGGUUCACGCUGCUUUGGUUUGAGAAGCUGUCCGAACUUGAUCAUUUAGAGGAAGUAAAAGUCGUAACUAGGUUUCCGUAGGUGAACCUGCGGAAGGAUCAUUACCAAGUUUCCUAAACUCUGCACUUGGCAGACUGGGUUCCGGCUCGGCC
rnacentral:rRNA from 1 species